GGAGAGAUGGCAGAGUGGUCGAAUGCGAUGGUCUUGAAAACCAUUGUGGGGGAGACUUCACCUAGGGUUCGAAUCCCUAUCUCUCCGCCA
rnacentral:tRNA from 1 species